rnacentral:other from 1 species
CUUCACUGCCGUAUAGGCAACUUAGAAA